UGCACCACCACAUCUGGUUAAUUUUUGUAUUUUCAGUAGAGACAGGGUUUCACCAUGUUGGUGAGGCUGGUCUUGAACUCCUGACUUCGUGAUCCACCCGCCUCGGUCUCCCAAAGUGCUGGGAUUACAGGUAUGAGCCACUGCACCCAGCCGCUGAUGACACUCUUAAUGAGAACUGUUUUAUUAUUAUUUGGCAACUAUUAAAGAAGAGCUGAUCAUACUCUCUGAGGACAGGAAUUACUUAAUAGAAACCAGUGAACACCCCGCGAUGUUUAGACCUGUAGUUUCAGGCCUCCACCCCUGCUGGGAUGAAGUGCCUGCGAGGAUGGGUUCUGUCACUGGCUUUUACUGGGCUGGUAAAGGGAGACUCAGCCGAUUUCUGAGCAUUUCACAUGUUACCUUAUCUGGCUCUUUUAUCGGGCUUGUGAGUGUCCUAAGCUGCCUCAAAUCUGCCCUGGCCGUUCUGAAAUGGAGGUGGACUUGGAAAAAGAAAAAGGCUUUUCCUGUUUAUUGGGGCGGUGCUAGCUGGACAGAAUUCCGGAGAGGACGGGCGAUUCCCUGCGGGAUCAGGUGGUGACGGUUUUCUGGGUGCCUCUGCCCGGUGCUCUGGGAGGUGCUGAGCAAAGGCCACCGCGUGGGGGCCGCGGGAGGGUGAGAGGCUCUGGUCACGGCACAGACUUCCCACGGGGGGAAAGUGGGCGAUUGACUGUCACGCGGCAGCUCAGGGGCUGCUCCCUGAGGCUGUGCCGGCACCAGGCGGCUCCGGAUCCGCCCGUCAAGGGGCCUGCUCUGCGACCCGACCACAACACAGGUGAGCAGGACGCGGUGCCCGCAGAGAGUGGGCCUGCCACGCAGUGGGAAGCAGCGCAGGCAGCUGCUGUCCCCGGGUCCCGCUGCUUUCCCAAAGAGUCAGCCGGCUCCGGCCACGAUCGUCUUUGUAGCCUGAGGUCAGGUGGAUGGCUGGGAUUGCUGAAUAAACACAGGCCGGCGGGUCCACACUGAAAGUGCGUUUCGGUGACCACUUAGGAAGCUGCCAUUGGCUUUGCAAUUCUGGGGCCACCUGUGGGGCCUGGCCCACGGCGUCCUACACCCGUGGCGCAGGCUCAGGUGUGAUUUCAACCUGCGA
rnacentral:lncRNA from 1 species